GGCACAAGACAACUAGUCUCCUCUCUUUUGGAACGGAAACACGGCGCUCUCUACGAUUCUCUUUAUUUGAGUCAUAGGAAAGCCGUACUAUUAAGAGGGGAUCCGUAGUGGAAAGGUUUGGAUGGAAUCUAUCUUUACACACGCACUCAUCACAAUUCUCCCCUUCUGUGUUUGGAGCGGCCCUCGCCUACUUCGUCUUGAGCUUCUCUGCAAAAAUGGUCCCCAGCGGUAGUACCGCUGGUGUCCGCGGUAGUACCGCUGGACUGCC
rnacentral:lncRNA from 1 species